UGGAUUAGGCAUGCAAGUCAAACGAAUCCCAGCUUUGUAGCAAUACCGAGCUGGGGGAAGUGGCGAAAGGGGCAGUAAUGCGUGGGUAAUCUACCUCGUGGACGUGGAUAGCCAUCCUAACGGGUGGGUAAUACGCGGCGAUUUGGUCGAGGGGCAUCCCUUGGCCAGGAAAUGAAUUUCGCCUCGAGAGGAACUCACGUGAUAUUAGCUUGUUGGCGGGGUAAUGGCCCACCAAGGCAAAGAUGUCUAGCGGGUGUGAGAGCACGACCCGCGCCACUGGCACUGAGACACUGGCCAGACACCUACGGGUGGCUGCAGUCGAGGAUCUUUGGCAAUGAGCGCAAGCUUGACCAAGCGACGCCGCGUGUGCGAUGAAGGCCUUCGGGUUGUAAAGCACUGUCGAGGGGGACGAAGCCGAAAGGUUGACCGAUCCCUGGAGGAAGCACGGGCUAAGUUCGUGCCAGCAGCCGCGGUAAGACGAACCGUGCGAACGUUGUUCGGAAUCACUGGGCUUAAAGGGCGCGUAGGCGGCUUGCCAAGUCCGGGGUGAAAUCCUGCAGCUUAACUGUAGAAGGGCCCUGGAUACCGGCGAGCUCGAGGGAGGUAGGGGUGCGUGGAACUUCUGGUGGAGCGGUGAAAUGCGUUGAUAUCAGAAGGAACGCCGGUGGCGAAAGCGACGCACUGGAUCUCUACUGACGCUGAGGCGCGAAAGCUAGGGGAGCAAACGGGAUUAGAUACCUCGGUAGUCC
rnacentral:rRNA from 1 species